rnacentral:rRNA from 1 species
GGGCCCGCACAAGCGGUGGAGCAUGUGGUUUAAUUCGAUGAUACGCGAGGAACCUUACCAGGGCUUAAAUGGGAAAUGACAGGGGCAGAGACGCCCCCUUCUUCGGACAUUUUUCAAGGUGCUGCAUGGUUGUCGUCAGCUCGUGCCGUGAGGUGUCAGGUUAAGUCCUAUAACGAGCGCAACCCCUGUUGUUAGUUGCCAGCGAGUCAUGUCGGGAACUCUAACAAGACUGCCGGUGCAAACCGUGAGGAAGGUGGGGAUGACGUCAAAUCAUCACGGCCCUUACGUCCUGGGCUACACACGUGCUACAAUGGUAGGUACAGAGGGAAGCCACCCCGCGAGGGGGAGCGGGAUCUACAAAACCUAUCUCAGUUCGGAUCGGAGUCUGCAACUCGACUCCGUG